CUGCGCCUCAGGUCCCGGCAGUGGCAAUACCCGCCGAGCUCUCCACCCGGGCCUUGCCCGCAGAGCCGGGGAAGCCCCCCCAGGUUUCCUCACCACCGGGCGGCGGGCCCCACCGCGCCUCUGCCCCUCGGGGCUGCCCGGGGGCAGCACCCCCGGCCCGGAGCCAGGCCCUGAAAUGCUCCCCGGGGGAGCAGCUGCCCGCGGCGGGGGGUGACCCCGCAUCCCAGCCGGCACCCCCCAGCCGGCCGGCGCUGCCGGGGGGUAGCUGAGGGGCCUUCCCCUAUCGGCGGGUGGGGGCCUGCCGCAAAUUGAGGAGAAAGCCGGCGCUGCACCGAGAAUUGCGUGUUUCGGUGGCAAAUGGAGGCUGGUGAGGGGAUUGCUGGAAGGAUCGCUGCGAGUUCUCCGGCCAUCCAGCGGUGCCCUCCGUGCUGUGGAGGAGGGGGCAGGCUGCUCCCUGUGGUGGGGGCCGGUCCAAGAUUUUGGGAGAGCAAGGAAGUUUGAAACCAUUGAAGACUUUCUCCUUUCCUUUGCAUAAGAGAGCGUGCGGCCCUCGGUGACAGUUUAGGUGAAGGUGAAAAGUGAAUGUUCCUCAGCAGUCCUAGCAAAAGGAUGUUUUUACAAAUAUCUUGCGGAAAAUCUCAGAUCUUGCUGUCUUUCCUCAUGAGGACUGAGAACUGCAGACCAGAAGGUGGAUCGUCACAGCUCAUGUUUAAAGCAGUCACUUAGAAGAUAAAUCACCACUUGGAGGGAGCCAUGAUACCAAGUCUGUGUUCUCAUUCUGCACUGUGGAAUGGGGCCCUGCUUUUUUGUUCUGGC